AUGGCAUCCCUACCCGUUGGUGUCCACCAGCGGGUUCGGGGGUUGACAGGCACUGACAACCCUGUGACCAUAGCUCUGACAAAGGGUGUGUGUGUGUGUGUGUGUGUGUGUGUGUGUGUGUGUGAAAACAAGAAGGUGCCGUCCACGGCCUGCUGUCUGCUCUCCCGAUUGUUGUUUUUGCUUUUUAUUUUCCUGUGUUGCUCUUUGGUGCAUAGUAGCUCAAAUUUUCACUAUGAUCACCUCACCCUUCUUGAAUUUCGGCAUAAACUUGGAUUUACCUAUCACCGCUGUUCGGAUCUAAGACGGUCCUUCGCCCCGCUGUUUACGGCGGUCCCAGCUCUGCUGCUUCGCUCUCCCCGCCCGGCAUGGCUACCAAGGAAACGCCGUAGACAUGGCAAAUGCGGGGGUUCCAAAGUGCGGCUCAGAGCCUCCUCCGGCCGUUCGUGCAUGGGAUAUAAACCUCACCUGUCACCAGAGUUGAUGCAUGGAGAUCAUCGGACCUUCCGCAUUCCAUCGCUCUGUCGAAGAUUCUCUGGGGAAUCCGGUCGCCGGAAUGCCUCAACCACCAUCCCGUGGAUGCACCGGGGCGUCAACCAAGCUAACCUUUGCUAUCCUACGGUGGCCCAAGCGGCCCAGUCACCCCGGUCAGCUGAUUCGGGUCUUCCACCGAUCUUCAGGGUAGCUCUCCUAAACGCCCGGUCAAUUGGGAAUAAAACCCUCAUUUUAAGGGAUUAUUUUUUCCAGCAUGAGGUGACAUUAUUCUGCAUGAACGAGACCUGGGUUCUUCCUGGUGAGUCAGCUGCUCUGUCAGAGCUCUGUUCUUCGGACUGUCAGGUUCUGAACGAGCCCAGGCUCACUGGUGGUGGUGGUGGAUUACUAACCAUGUUCAGAUCCUCUUUCCAUCCUAAAAAACUUACUAUACCAGUGACUCCAACCAGCUUUGAGUUUAUGGCUUUUGAGGUGGACUUUAGUCCUCCGCUGCUGUUUAUUCUCUGCUAUCACCCACCUAAGUACAAUUCAAACUUUUUAUCUGAAUUUUCUGAUCUUUUAACAGACUUUCUUCCAAAAUAUGACCGCAGGAUUAUUCUUGGUGAUUUUAAUAUACAUGUUUGCUGCCCUGACAAACCUCUUGUUGGUGGCUUUUUAGAAAUUUUAGAUUGUUUUGAUCUCCAGCAACAGGUCCACUCACCCACCCAUUCAGGAUCGCACAUUUUAGACUUGGUUUUGUCAUUUGGGAUCUGUAUCUCUGAUCUGAAUGUUGACUCUGCAUGUUUCUCUGAUCAUUCUCCUAUUAUUUUUAAUAUCUGUGGCUUGACACCUCCAUCCACUAGGAAACAUAAUCAACACCUUACAAGAAUAAUUUCCCCUUUCACCACCAGUCUAUUAGCAUCUAGCCUAGCUGUGACUCUAUCCACUUCCCAACCUGAUUCCACCUGUGUAGGAGUUGAGGAGCUGCUGACCUCUUUCAACUCUACCUGCUCAGCUGUUUUAAAUGCAGUCGCUCCUCUAAAAUCCAGGCAUAAAACAACUGUGGCAGACCCUUGGCUCAAUGACUCGUGCCCUAAGACGCCGAACGCCGGUGGCGGAAGAACAAGCUGA
rnacentral:lncRNA from 1 species